GCUAGGAUGGCAGAAUGGUAAUGCGGCGGUCUCGAAAACCGCUGUCCUUUUGGACAUGGAGGUUCGAAUCCUCCUCCUAGCG
rnacentral:tRNA from 1 species